rnacentral:rRNA from 1 species
GACGAACCGUGCAAACGUUGUUCGGAAUCACUGGGCUUAAAGGGCAGGUAGGUGGUCUGAUUUGUCUGGAGGUGAAAGCCUUGGGCUUAACCCAAGAAGUGCCCCGGAAACGGUCAGACUUUGAGUCUUGGAGAGGGUUGCGGAAUUCCCGGUGUAGCGGUGAAAUGCGUAGAGAUCGGGAGGAACAUCAGUUGCGAAGGCGGCUCUCUGGACCAGCACUGACACUGAGGCACGAAAGCGUGGGGAGCAAACAGG